rnacentral:rRNA from 1 species
AUUGAACGCUGGCGGCAGGCCUAACACAUGCAAGUCGAGCGAGCGGCGGACGGGUGAGUAAUGUAUGGGGACUGCCCGAUAGAGGGGGAUAACUACUGGAAACGGUGGCUAAUACCGCAUACUAUCGGAUAACCCAUAUGGGUUUCGCUAGUAGGUUGGGUAAAGGCUCACCUAGGCGACGAUCUCUAGCUUGUCUGAGAGGAUGAUCAGCCACACUGGGACUGAGACACGGCCCAGACUCCUACGGAGGCAGCAGUGGGGAAGAUUGCACAAGGGGCGCAAGCCUGAUGCAGCCAGGCCGCGUGUAUGAAGAAGGCCUUAGGGUUGUAAAGUACUUUCGGUAGCGAGGCGGUAACUACAGAAGAAGCACCGGCUAACUCCGUGCCAGCAGCCGCGGUAAUUG